GAACCGUACGAACGUUUAUUCGGAAUUACUGGGCUUAAAGGGUGCGUAGGCUGCACGGAAAGUUGGGUGUGAAAGCCCUCAGCUCAACUGAGGAAUUGCAUCCAAAACUGCCGUGCUAGAGGGAGACAGAGGUGAGCGGAACUCAAGGUGGAGCGGUGAAAUGCGUUGAUAUCUUGAGGAACACCGGUGGCGAAAGCGGCUCACUGGGUCUCUUCUGACGCUGAGGCGCGAAAGCUAAGGUAGCAAACGGGGGAUUAGAUACCCCGGUAGUCUUAGCUGUAAACGAUGAGCACUUGAUUGGAGGGUCCUCCAUAGCCUUCCAGUCGUAGCGAAAGUGUUAAGUGCUCCGCCUGGGAGUAUGGUCGCAAGGCUG
rnacentral:rRNA from 1 species